GUUGUAUAGUCAAGUAAUUAAGUGCAUGUGGUGGAUGCCUUGGCAGUCAGAGGCGAUGAAAGACGUGAUAGCCUGCGAAAAGCUCCGGGGAGGCGGCAAAUAUCCUUUGAUCCGGAGAUGUCUGAAUGGGGGAACCCACCUACUUUAAGGUAGGUAUUGCAACAUGAAUACAUAGUGUUGCAAGGCGAACGAGGGGAAGUGAAACAUCUCAGUACCCUUAGGAAAAGAAAUCAAUUGAGAUUCCCUCAGUAGCGGCGAGCGAACGGGGAUCAGCCCAUUAAGUUAUGUGUGUUUUAGUGGAACGCUCUGGGAAGUGCGAACGUAGAGGGUGAUAUUCCCGUACACGAAAGGGCACACAUAAUGAUGACGAGUAGGGCGAGGCACGUGAAACCUUGUCUGAAUAUGGGGGGACCAUCCUCCAAGGCUAAAUACUCCUGACUGACCGAUAGUGAACCAGUACCGUGAGGGAAAGGCGAAAAGAACCCCUGUGAGGGGAGUGAAAUAGAUCCUGAAACCGCAUGCAUACAAGCAGUGGGAGCACCUUCGUGGUGUGACUGCGUACCUUUUGUAUAAUGGGUCAGCGACUUAUAUUCAGUAGCGAGGUUAACCGUAUAGGGGAGCCGUAGGNNNNNNNNNNNNNNNNNNNNNNNNNNNNNNNNNNNNNNNNNNNNNNNNNNNNNNNNNNNNNNNNNNNNNNNNNNNNNNNNNNNNNNNNNNNNNNNNNGAGAAAUCGAGUCUUAAUAGGGCGUUUAGUUGCUGGGUAUAGACCCGAAACCAGGCGAUCUAUCCAUGAGCAGGUUGAAGGUUGGGUAACACUAACUGGAGGACCGAACCCACUGUCGUUGAAAAGCCAGGGGAUGACUUGUGGAUAGGGGUGAAAGGCUAAUCAAGCCUGGUGAUAGCUGGUUCUCCCCGAAAGCUAUUUAGGUAGCGCCUCGGACGAAUACCAUAGGGGGUAGAGCACUGUUUCGGCUAGGGGGUCAUCCCGACUUACCAAACCGAUGCAAACUCCGAAUACCUAUGAGUACUAUCCGGGAGACAGACUGCGGGUGCUAACGUCCGUAGUCAAGAGGAAAACAAUCCAGACCGCCAGCUAAGGCCCCAAAAUCAUAGUUAAGUGGGAAACGAUGUGGGAAGGCAUAGACAGCUAGGAGGUUGGCUUAGAAGCAGCCACCCUUUAAAGAAAGCGUAAUAGCUCACUAGUCGAGUCGGCCUGCGCGGAAGAUGUAACGGGGCUAAAACUAUGUGCCGAAGCUGCGGAUGUAUACUUUGUAUACGUGGUAGGGGAGCGUUCUGUAAGCCGAUGAAGGUGUGUUGAGAAGCAUGCUGGAGGUAUCAGAAGUGCGAAUGCUGACGUGAGUAACGACAAAACGGGUGAAAAACCCGUUCGCCGAAAGACCAAGGGUUCCAGUCCAACGUUAAUCGGGGCUGGGUGAGUCGACCCCUAAGGCGAGGCCGAAAGGCGUAGUCGAUGGGAAAAUGGUUAAUAUUCCAUUACUUCUGUGUAAUGCGAUGAGAGGACGGAGAAGGCUAAAUCAGCCUGGCGUUGGUUGUCCAGGUGAAAGGAUGUAGGCAUGUAUCUUAGGCAAAUCCGGGGUACUCUAUGCUGAGAUCUGAUAGCAAGCUGUACUUGUACAGCGAAGUGGUUGAUGCCAUGCUUCCAGGAAAAGUCUCUAAGCUUCAGUUACACAGGAAUCGUACCCGAAACCGACACAGGUGGUCAGGUCGAGUAGACCAAGGCGCUUGAGAGAACUCUGCUGAAGGAACUAGGCAAAAUGGUACCGUAACUUCGGGAGAAGGUACGCUGUUGUUGGUGAUGGAACUCGCUUCCUGAGCUGACGACAGCCGCAGAAACCAGGCCGCUGCAACUGUUUAUUAAAAACAUAGCACUCUGCAAACACGAAAGUGGACGUAUAGGGUGUGAUGCCUGCCCGGUGCUGGAAGGUUAAUUGAUGGGGUUAGCGUAAGCGAAGCUCUUGAUCGAAGCCCCAGUAAACGGCGGCCGUAACUAUAACGGUCCUAAGGUAGCGAAAUUCCUUGUCGGGUAAGUUCCGACCUGCACGAAUGGCAUAAUGAUGGCGGCGCUGUCUCCAGCAGAGGCUCAGUGAAAUCGAAAUCGCUGUGAAGAUGCAGUGUACCCGCGGCUAGACGGAAAGACCCCGUGAACCUUUACUGCAGCUUGACACUGAACUUUGACCUUACUUGUGUAGGAUAGGUGGGAGGCUUUGAAGCUGGAACGCUAGUUCCAGUGGAGCCGUCCUUGAAAUACCACCCUGGUAAUGUUGAGGUUCUAACUCUGUCCCGUGAUCCGGGACGAGGACCGUGUCUGGUGGGUAGUUUGACUGGGGCGGUCUCCUCCUAAAGAGUAACGGAGGAGUACGAAGGUGCGCUCAGCGUGGUCGGAAAUCACGCGUAGAGUAUAAAGGCAAAAGCGCGCUUAACUGCGAGACCCACAAGUCGAGCAGGUACGAAAGUAGGUCUUAGUGAUCCGGUGGUUCUGUAUGGAAGGGCCAUCGCUCAACGGAUAAAAGGUACUCUGGGGAUAACAGGCUGAUACCGCCCAAGAGUUCAUAUCGACGGCGGUGUUUGGCACCUCGAUGUCGGCUCAUCUCAUCCUGGGGCUGAAGCAGGUCCCAAGGGUAUGGCUGUUCGCCAUUUAAAGAGGUACGCGAGCUGGGUUUAGAACGUCGUGAGACAGUUCGGUCCCUAUCUACCGUGGGCGCUGGAAAUUUGAGAGGAUCUGCUCCUAGUACGAGAGGACCAGAGUGGACGAACCUCUGGUGUACCGGUUGUGACGCCAGUCGCAUCGCCGGGUAGCUAUGUUCGGAAGGGAUAACCGCUGAAAGCAUCUAAGCGGGAAGCCUACCUCAAGAUAAGAUUUCCCUAGGACUUUAUGUCCUCUAAAGAGCCGUUCGAGACUAGGACGUUGAUAGGUUGGAUGUGGAAGCAUAGUGAUAUGUGAAGCUGACCAAUACUAAUUGCUCGUGAGGCUUGACUAUACAACACCCAAGCAGUUG
rnacentral:rRNA from 1 species